rnacentral:rRNA from 1 species
GAUCCUGGCUCAGGAUGAACGCUAGCGACAGGCCUAACACAUGCAAGUCGAACGAGAAUCUAUUGAAGGAGUUUUUCGGACAACGGAUAUAGAGGACAGUGGCGGACGGGUGAGUAACGCGUGAGGAACCUGCCUUUCAGAGGGGGACAACAGUUGGAAACGACUGCUAAUACCGCAUGACACAUAGGUGUCGCAUGGCACUUAUGUCAAAGAUUUAUCG